rnacentral:rRNA from 1 species
CCUACGGGAGGCUGCAGUGGGGAAUAUUGGUCAAUGGACGAAAGUCUGAUCCAGCAAAGCCGCGUGAAGGAUGACUGCCCUCUGAGUUGAAAACUUCUUUUUUAAAGGAGUAAAACGAGGCACGUAUGCCUUUUUGCUUCUACUUUAUGAAUAAGGAACGGCUAACGGCGUUCCAGCAGCCGCGGUAAUACGGUGGAUCCGAGCGUUAUCUGGAUUUAUUGGGUUUAAAGGAAGAGUAGAUGGGUUGUUAUGUUAGUUGUGAAAGUUGGCGGAUCAACCGGAAUAGUGCAAUUGAUACUGGCAGUCUUGAGUACAGUUGAGGUAGGCGGAAUUCGUGGUGUAGCGGUGAAAUGCUUAGAUAUAACGAAGAACCCCGAUGGCGAAGGCAGCUUACUAAACUGUAACUGACAUUGAGGCUCGAAAGUGUGGGUAGCAAACAGGAUUAGAUACCCGAGUAGUC